UUCUUCACUCCUCCUUUGAUUUUUAAUUUCUCAGGUGGUGAACACGAUAAAGUCAUUGUGAGGUAGGAAAGUUCACAAACCCUAGUUUUUAAUGUCCUUUUCCCAACACCAUCUAAUGACCUAAAUCGUUUCCACAAUUCAUCUAUUGCACAACUCAUAUCCACAUCUGAUCCAUCAUUUGUACCUACUUCUAACUUAACUUCCAUAGUUAGUUUCCUCCAAUGAACAUGAACAACAUCUAUUGGCAUCGGUAUACCACCAAAUGUG
rnacentral:lncRNA from 1 species